GAUGAUCAGCCACACUGGAACUGAGACACGGUCCAGACUCCUACGGGAGGCAGCAGUGGGGAAUAUUGCACAAUGGGCGAAAGCCUGAUGCAGCCAUGCCGCGUGUAUGAAGAAGGCCUUCGGGUUGUAAAGUACUUUCAGUUGUGAGGAAGGGGGUGUCGUUAAUAGCGGCAUCUCUUGACGUUAGCAACAGAAGAAGCACCGGCUAACUCCGUGCCAGCAGCCGCGGUAAUACGGAGGGUGCGAGCGUUAAUCGGAAUUACUGGGCGUAAAGCGCAUGCAGGUGGUUCAUUAAGUCAGAUGUGAAAGCCCGGGGCUCAACCUCGGAACUGCAUUUGAAACUGGUGAACUAGAGUACUGUAGAGGGGGGUAGAAUUUCAGGUGUAGCGGUGAAAUGCGUAGAGAUCUGAAGGAAUACCAGUGGCGAAGGCGGCCCCCUGGACAGAUACUGACACUCAGAUGCGAAAGCGUGGGGAGCAA
rnacentral:rRNA from 1 species